rnacentral:lncRNA from 1 species
AGAAAUAUUGCAAUGCCUGGAGAUGUGGUAAAGAGCUUAUGGACUCACCUGAGAGUGGACGCCUAGCUGUGGGCUUUGUAUGAGCUCAGCUGCAGCAGAACCUGGAGUAGCAUCCUUACAUGAGAAGAGCAAGCUUUGGGAUCACUCGUGUUUCAGAAGAAAACACCUCCAGCAAGUGUCCUGGGAAGGCUGUCAGAGCAGCACUUUGCUGGUGCAAAGGAGGCAGUGAGAUGAUGACCGAGGAGUUACUCAUUCUUUGUCAGAGGUUCCAUGGCUCCUUUUGGGAAGUGGACAGCUGCUUUUCCACAGCAGAAAAUCAUUGCUGGUGUAAAGGCAGGUGAGAGGCAGGGGCCUCAGGAGAGCUUUGUAAACCUGGAGCAAACCUGGAGCAGCACUGGUUGGGCACUUCAGUGUGUUUUUUUUUUUUUUUUUUAAUUUUUUUUAUUUUUUAUUUUAUUUUAUUUUUUUUGAACAAAGCAGGUGAGAUCAGAGAGAAAUGGUUCAUAUUGCUUCCAGAGCAAUAUAAAUUCAGUGAAUUCAGGGGUCUGUGAGAUGGUCCUUCCUGUUCUUAACCUGGCAGUGAGGAGGAACAAGGUCAGGCACCAAAUGCUUCCAAAGGACCAGGUACCCCCAUGGUUGGCUUUCAAAUUGUUUUCAGUGUUGCAGGCCCAGGCCUUUGAGGGACAGUGCUGCUGGCUGCCUGGAUCAUUAUCAGGAGAGAAACAAAUAGAAAUUUGCACCUGAUCAUGUAAGGCUGCUCUUAAGUCCUUGUUGCUCUCUUUGCUCAACAAGUGUGUGCACAACACACUGGUGCUCGUGGGAGGGUGGAUUUCUUGGGGGAGACCUUUAUUUCUGUUGCAAAUGUUCAGUUUUAGCUUCCCAAUGCACCCGUUGGCAGCCAAAGUGUUAAAACUCUAUAUUCAGUACUAGCAAACGUGGUUAAGAGAGAAAUGUCCAUUUGAAAAUGUAUUUCCACUAUGUGGGAUAGGGCCGUGUGUCUAGAAUGUUAUUGAGGUUAAUUAGAAAAAUUAUCUCAUCAGAACAAAAAAAUCAGGUGAGCAGAGUCUUUCUGCCUGAGACACGCUAAUCUCUCCCAGCUCAGUUUCAAGAGCAACCAUGAUCCAUCAAAGUCAUUCCCCCAUGCAGUCCCUUGAGGAUAUCUGAAGUUUAGCCAAGUGUGGCAGGACUUGCAUCGCACCUGCAGUAUUCAUGAGAAGGGGUGUAUAAACAGCUUCCUCCAGUGGUGUGCAACAGAAAACAUAAAUCCGUGUGCUUACAUACUGUUGUCCCUAUUUGAGAAGAUCCUUAUAUAUUCUUUUUCUCUGUUUGUGAACACCUCCCCUGAGUUAAAAAGAAGUAAUGGCCACUCUGUCUCAUUUCCCAUUCGAUAGUUCACGCUCAAUAUUUGCUUGCAUUCUUUUUAAAUAUUUUUCCUCUAAUAAAAUAAGACCCAUAGACA